AAGUCGUAACAAGGUUUCCGUAGGUGAACCUGCGGAAGGAUCAUUAACACGUAUCCAAACGUUAAAACCCCCCCCCGUGAACCUUCUCUUGUAACCCGCGUAGUUCGCAAUCUCUGAUAAAUCAUAGCCCGGAAAGUUGUAGUGAUUCAGAGACCUCUAUAAGCAAUGUUUCCCCAAGCAGUCUGUGUCGGAAAGUGUCAUUGAUUGUGCAAGGAUAGCGCUUCUACGAUUCCUGUAGACCGUACACUCGGGCAGGAGCUUUGCCAAAGGGUCCCCAUGCCCCCUAAUAACCCCACAGUUUAAUGUGAAGCUCAAUGUAAUACAUUGGGUAAAAAAACCGAACAACUGUUAACAAUGGAUAUCUUGGUUCUCGCAACGAUGAAGAACGCAGCGAAAUGCGAUACGUAAUGCGAAUUGCAGAAUUCAGCGAAUUCUC
rnacentral:misc_RNA from 1 species